GAUGAACGCUGGCGGCGUGCCUAAUACAUGCAAGUCGAGCGAACAGACGAGGAGCUUGCUCCUCUGACGUUAGCGGCGGACGGGUGAGUAACACGUGGAUAACCUACCUAUAAGACUGGGAUAACUUCGGGAAACCGGAGCUAAUACCGGAUAAUAUAUUGAACCGCAUGGUUCAAUAGUGAAAGACGGUUUUGCUGUCACUUAUAGAUGGAUCCGCGCCGCAUUAGCUAGUUGGUAAGGUAACGGCUUACCAAGGCAACGAUGCGUAGCCGACCUGAGAGGGUGAUCGGCCACACUGGAACGGAGACACGGUCCAGACUCCUACGGGAGGCAGCAGUAGGGAAUAUUCCGCAAUGGGCGAAAGCCUGACGGAGCAACGCCGCGUGAGUGAUGAAGGUCUUCGGAUCGUAAAACUCUGUUAUUAGGGAAGAACAAAUGUGUAAGUAACUAUGCACGUCUUGACGGUACCUAAUCAGAAAGCCACGGCUAACUACGUG
rnacentral:rRNA from 1 species